GCUGGGUGUGGUGGCACAUGCCUGUAAUCCCAGCAGCUUAGGAGGCUGAUGCAGGAGGAUUUUGAGUUCAAAGCCAGCGUCAGCAAUGGAGAGGUUCUAGGCAACUCAGUGAGACCCUGUCUCUA
rnacentral:sRNA from 1 species